UUGACAUUCUUAACGUGAAGGCAUACUUUCAGGAGUGAGGGUAGAGCGGGGUUUCCCCCGCCCUGGUAGUCUUAGUAUGCUGGGUAGCUAAUCACUAAGAGCACCACGAUGAUGAGUAUCUUCAUCAUGACCCUUUCCUUAUU
rnacentral:sRNA from 1 species